rnacentral:rRNA from 1 species
AUGGCUGGGGAUGGAGGCGAGGACAACGCCGGGGUGCCCCUUCGUCCCGCCGGCGUCACGCUCCUCCUCGUCGGAAAGAUCGGCAACGGCAAGAGCGCCACCGGCAACAGCAUCCUCGGGCAGGAGGCGUUCUUUUCCAAGCACUCCUUCAGAAGCGUCACGCUGAAAGCACCACGGCUUCUCAACACCGCCAGCGUGACGGUUGAUGUCGGGAAAGUGGCCAUGGAGUGCAUGAGCAUGGCAAAAGACGGGAUACAAGCAGCCCUCGUUGUCUUCUCGGCCACGUCUCGCUUCUCCGAAGAAGACGCGACGGCGGUUGAGUCCAUAAAGAGGAUGUUUGGUGAGCGCAUGGUCUUGGUUUUCACUCACGGAGACGAGGUAGGGCAGAAUGAAUUCAAGGAGAUGAUGAGUGAUGCUCCAGAGUACAUGAAGGAGAUGGUGAGGUUGUGCGAAGAUAGGGUGGUCCUCUUUGACAAUAGAACGAAUCAUUCAAGGAUUCAAGCAGAACAACGCAAGGUAUUGCUUGAUAAGGUGGACUCUAUUAUGACUGAUCAUCAGGAACAUCCACUUUCAGAGCAAAUUCACCUUGUCAUUACGAGGUCCAAAAGUCUCCUCAAGUGGUCUCAAAAGAUCAUGAAGAAACAAAUGCCACACACGGUCAAAAAUAAAAAAAGCCACAACCGGCUAUACGGUCUGUGUUGGCUGCACCACACUGUGCGCAAUCUAUGUGAGAACGUUUGUGCCAACCUUCGUGAAAAUUUUAAAGCUCACAUUGAGCAAACAGAUCGGCCUGAAUUGCUCAAUGCGGACCGCUCCCUCCUUUGGCAGCAAAGUAAUAUUCCCAAAGUUUAA